rnacentral:rRNA from 1 species
CCUACGGGAGGCAGCAGUGGGGAAUAUUGGACAAUGGGGGAAACCCUGAUCCAGCGACGCCGCGUGAGUGAAGAAGGAUUUCGGUACGUAAAGCUCUAUCAGCAGGAAAGAAAAGGACGGUACCUGACUAAGAAGCCACGGCUAACUACGUGCCAGCAGCCGCGGUAAUACGUAGGGGGCAAGCGUGAUCCGGAUUUACUGGGUGUAACGGGAGCGUAGCCGGCAGCGCCGGUCUGGAGUGAAAUGCCGGGGCCCCACCCCGGAACUGCUCUGGAAACGGUGAAGCUGGAGUGCAGGAGAUGUAAGCGGACUUCCUUGUGUAGCGGUGAACUGCGUAGCUAUCAGGAGGCACCCCGGCGCCGACGGCGGCUUACUGGACUGUACCUGACGUUGAGGCUCGAAGGCGUGGGGAGCAAACAGGAUUAGAUACCCUAGUAGUC